AGUCACCUUGGGCCACACUGCCCAGGCUUUGGGCAAGCAGUGGCCUCAGUUGGUGGGGAGGCAUCUUUCCCCAGUGAUCAGCAGGCCCCAAGUACCUGCUUGGCACCAACCCUUUCCCUGUGCUUAGCAGGGCAGUCAGUGGAGCUGCCCCUAGGUGCUGGGACCUAGAAAGCCCAUACUGACUACAGGAGACCCUGCGCAGAGCUCCUAACUGGGGACUGCGAGUCCAGACGGCAGGGCCCUGAGUGAGUUUUCAGGCACAAAGACGAACCAGCGGUGCCCCUGCCCUGGAGGAGCUACGUCUCUCAGGAGAGGGGGACACAUCGACAGACCAGUGAAACGUGGCAUAACAGGGGCACCUGCGGCUGCGUAGCUGCUCCGUCUCAUAAAGAAGCAGUGGAAAGAAUCACCGAGGGAACUUGCUUUAAAAACGUCGCCUGGUUGAAAAGCUCCUGCUCUUUUUUGCCCCCAGGCCCAUGUUGGCCCAACAAGAAAACUGCUUCUGUUAAGUAAUAGAAGCUUUCUCAGUUUGGGUUAAUCAAAGGCGUCCGAGAUGCUGUGCAACUCUCAUUGGCCUGGAGAGUCUGAACGAGCACGGUGGGUUGAUAUAACCCCAUCCAAAGCAGAGAAAGGUGAUGCUGUUAUGGAGCCCAUGCUGGUCUGGCCCUCCGUCUGGGUGCAGUGACCAUCAGGGAUUUCAAAAGGCUUGGUGCGUGUUUUAAGAGCGUGGUCGCAUUCCCACUGAGAAGGAUGCAUCUCUGAGGCCUUGUCGUUGAGGACGUGGCAGACACAAGGGGUGGGGAGUUCAAGGGCACAGCGUGGCCUGCGUGUCAGUGGGCUUCGGAGCUGAUAAGAGCUGGAGCUACAGAGGUUGGGAACGAAAAUCUGAAUCCCCAGUGGUCCUCAAAUGCACCGAGGUCCACGGCCAAACCCUGGCUCAGAACCCUGACCGAUACUACUGAUUGUAUGACUGGUGGGACCAGAUGGGACCCAGGGCUAAGCAGCCCUCCCCUGCUGGAAGAGGAGCUCAGAGAGGCCCGCCAUCUUGUCUUUGUAUGGAACACCACCGGCCACACUCUGAAUGUCAGGCUGGGAGUGCUUCUGUUUUUAUAUUGGACACAAUUGUCUAAUGUGCUGUAGGAGCGUGCUGCCGUGGCAGUUGGCUGUGUUUCCCAAAGAAGCUCUGGAACUCUGAUGCCAGAGUUCCACAAAGACUCCUGGGAAACAGCUUCCUUGCCCAGCAGAAUUUGCUUGAAUAUGCCAGGGUGCACUGGGAAUCUUGUAUAUGAGACGAAAGCUCACAGUCUGCACAUACUGGACAGGCUAUGGUUUUUCCAGAGCAUAACCUGAGGUCAGUAUUCCAAAGGACACACUUUGGGAACCCAGUCAAUGAAAGGCCCUCAUAACUAAAAGGUCUCUCUGUUUCUGUGUUAGUUACCUCCUGCUGCAUAACAAAUCACCCCUAACUUAGUGGCUUAAAACAGUAAGCAUGUAUGAUCUCACAGUGUCUGUGAGUCAGGAAUUCAGAAGUGGCAUAACCGGCUGGUCCCAGCCUGUGGUCUUCACUGAAGACGCAGUCCAGGUGUCAGCUGGGGUCGCCAUCACCUGACAGCUUGACUGGGGCUGGAGGAGCGGUUUCCGAGAUGGCACAGUCACCGGCUGGCGGGGCGAUGGUGGCUGUUGGCAGGAGGCCUUGCUUUCUCACCGCACAGACUCCUCCACAGAGCUGCUUGAGUUUCCUCACACUGUGGCGGCUGACUGCCCCCAGAUGGAUGCGAGAGAGCACAACGGAAGCCACAGUGCCUCUUGUGACCUGGCCCUUUCCACACUGUCCUAUGGGUCCCCACAGGGCAGCCCUAUGCAUUGUGGGAAGGGCUGAAGGAGGGUGGAAUCGUUUGGAGGCCAUCUUGCAGGCCGGCUGCCAUGGUAACCAUCUCUCCUGCACAAGGACAGAUAACUCACCUCACUCUCACAGCUGGUUUCUUACCAUUUAGUGCCAAUUAGUAACUUUGAGAGGUGACCUUGCUAACCUAUGAUGUGAAGGAGGAGGAGACCAGGAAUUUAUCAGCCACAUCAACGCCCCGGGAACAGCAGCCGUAACAGUCGUCCAGGCCCCUUUGCUGAGCCUCAGAGCCUGGUGGUGUGGUGCAGUUCUUGGCCCCAAGCAGCAAGUUCCACCAGAGUUCCAAGGUAGCCCACUUGGUUUUCUGAAAGGUAUCAAAUGAGAGGGUUUUUUUUGGCCAUGAUGGCUACCAGGACACAAGCAGCUUUGUCUCCUGGAAAUGCAGAGGCAAAAUCUGUGACCCGUGUGAAUCCACGUGGAGAAGACUAGAGAGGGGUGAGAACUCAAGAUGGAUAAAGGCCAAAGAUAAACACCUCAUAGGGGCUUCCCCGGUGGUGCAGUGGUUAAGACUCCGAGCUCCCACUGUAGGGGACGUGGAUUCGAUCCCUGGUCAGGGAGCUAAGAUCCCACAUGCUGUGGGGCAUGGUGCCCCCCAAUAAAUAAAUAAAUAAACACGUAAUAAGUAGGUGAGAUAAAAGAUUUAUUUCGU